UACCCUUUGUGACAUACCUAACUGUUGCUUCGGCGGGUUAGGGGGUCCCCCCGGGGACGCCCUCCCGGCCGCGCCCUCCUCCUCCGGGAGGGGUCGCGGCGCCCGCCGGAGGAUAACCAAACUCUGAUUUAACGACGUUUCUUCUGAGUGGCACAAGCAAAUAAUUAAAACUUUUAACAACGGAUCUCUUGGUUCUGGCAUCGAUGAAGAACGCAGCGAAAUGCGAUAAGUAAUGUGAAUUGCAGAAUUCAGUGAAUCAUCGAAUCUUUGAACGCACAUUGCGCCCGCCAGCAUUCUGGCGGGCAUGCCUGUUCGAGCGUCAUUUCAACCCUCAAGCUUCGCUUGGUGUUGGGGCACUACGGUUGACGUAGGCCCUCAAAAGUAGUGGCGGACCCUCCCGGAGCCUCCUUUGCGUAGUAACUAACGUCUCGCAUCGGGAUCCGGAGGGACUCUUGCCGUAAAACCCCCUAACUUUUAACUGGUUGACCUCGGAUCAGGUAGGAAUACCCGCUGAACUUAAGCAUAUCAAUAAAG
rnacentral:rRNA from 1 species